rnacentral:rRNA from 1 species
ACAGGUGCUGCAUGGCUGUCGUCAGCUCGUGCCGUGAGGUGUGGGUUAAGUCCCGCAACGAGCGCAACCCUAUUGCCAGUUGCUACCAGGUAAUGCUGGGCACUCUGGUGAGACUGCCCGGUUAACGGGGAGGAAGGUGGGGACGACGUCAAGUCAUCAUGGCCCUUACGCCUAGGGCUACACACGUACUACAAUGGCGCAUACAAAGGGCAGCGAUACCGCGAGGUGGAGCCAAUCCCAAAAAGUGCGUCCCAGUCCGGAUUGCAGUCUGCAACUCGACUGCAUGAAGUUGGAAUCGCUAGUAAUUCGAGAUCAGCAUGCUCGGGUGAAUGCGUUCCCGGGCCUU